rnacentral:rRNA from 1 species
GACAGAGGUGCCGAGCGUUAGGCGGAAUCACUGGGCUUAAAGCGUGUGUAGGCGGACUUCUAAGUACCUUGUGAAAUCCCACGGCUCAACCGUGGAACUGCUUGGUAUACUGGUCGUCUUGAGCCAUCUAGGGGCUGUCGGAACAAGCGGUGGAGCGGUGAAAUGCGUAGAUAUCGCUUGGAACGCCGAAGGUGAAAACAGGCUGCUGGGGUUGCGCCGACGCUGAGACACGAAAGCCAGGGGAGCAAACGGG